rnacentral:rRNA from 1 species
AGUGAACGCUGGCGGUAGGCCUAACACAUGCAAGUCGAACGGCAGCACAGUAAGAGCUUGCUCUUACGGGUGGCGAGUGGCGGACGGGUGAGGAAUACAUCGGAAUCUACUUUUUCGUGGGGGAUAACGUAGGGAAACUUACGCUAAUACCGCAUACGACCUACGGGUGAAAGCAGGGGAUCUUCGGACCUUGCGCGAUUGAAUGAGCCGAUGUCGGAUUAGCUAGUUGGCGGGGUAAAGGCCCACCAAGGCGACGAUCCGUAGCUGGUCUGAGAGGGUGAUCAGCCACACUGGAACUGAGACACGGUCCAGACUCCUACGGGAGGCAGCAGUGGGGAAUAUUGGACAAUGGGCGCAAGCCUGAUCCAGCCAUGCCGCGUGAGUGAAGAAGGCCUUCGGGUUGUAAAGCCCUUUUGUUGGGAAAGAAAAGCAGCAGGUUAAUACCCCGCUGUUCUGACGGUACCCAAAGAAUAAGCACCGGCUAACUUCGUG